UACGAAGGGGGCUAGCGUUGCUCGGAAUCACUGGGCGUAAAGGGUGCGUAGGCGGGUCUUUAAGUCAGGGGUGAAAUCCUGGAGCUCAACUCCAGAACUGCCUUUGAUUCUGAAGAUCUUGAGUUCGGGAGAGGUGAGUGGAACUGCGAGUGUAGAGGUGAAAUUCGUAGAUAUUCGCAAGAACACCAGUGGCGAAGGCGGCUCACUGGCCCGAUACUGACGCUGAGGCACGAAAGCGUGGGGAGCAAACAGG
rnacentral:rRNA from 1 species